rnacentral:rRNA from 1 species
AUUGAACGCUGGCGGAAUGCUUUACACAUGCAAGUCGAACGGUAGAGGGGGCAACCCCUCGAGAGUGGCGAACGGGUGAGUAAUAUAUCGGAACGUGCACAGUCGUGGGGGAUAACGUAGCGAAAGUUACGCUAAUACCGCAUACGAUCUAAGGAUGAAAGCGGGGGAUCGCAAGACCUCGCGCGAUUGGAGCGGCCGAUAUCAGAUUAGGUAGUUGGUGGGGUAAAGGCUCGCCAAGCCAACGAACUGUAGCUGGUCUGAGAGGACGACCAGCCACACUGGAGCUGAGACACGGUCCAGACUCCUACGGGAGGCAGCAGUGGGGAAUUUUGGACAAUGGACGCAAGUCUGAGCCAGCCAUUCCGCGUGCAGGAUGAAGGCCCUCGGGUUGUAAACUGCUUUUGUACGGAACGAAAAGGUCUCUCUUAAUACGGGGGACUCAUGACGGUACCGUAAGAAUAAGCACCGGCUAACUACGUGCCAGCCGCCGCGGUAACAC